rnacentral:lncRNA from 1 species
AGUGGAGCUAGUUGUGGAGUGCAGUGACAGUGAUGUGAGGCCGAAUGUGAGUGUGUCAUCCCUGGGUGCCGUGUGCCUUUACCUUUGUGUUUUAGAUGGGACACCAGGUCCAAUACCACCUCCAAGCCGAGUCACUUGGUGGAUGCGCACACUGCCGAAGUCAACUGCCUCUCAUUCAAUCCCUACAGCGAAUUUAUUCUAGCCACCGGCUCUGCGGAUAAGACCGUAGCUUUAUGGGAUCUGCGUAACUUAAAAUUAAAACUCCAUACCUUCGAAUCUCAUAAAGAUGAAAUUUUCCAGGUCCACUGGUCUCCACAUAAUGAAACUAUUCUGGCUUCAAGUGGUACUGACCGCCGCCUGAAUGUGUGGGAUUUAAGUAAAAUUGGGGAAGAACAAUCAGCAGAAGAUGCAGAAGAUGGGCCUCCAGAACUCCUGUUUAUUCAUGGAGGACACACUGCUAAGAUUUCAGAUUUUAGCUGGAACCCCAAUGAGCCUUGGGUCAU